CCUACGGGGGGCAGCAGUGAGGAAUAUUGGUCAAUGGACGAGAGUCUGAACCAGCCACGUAGCGUGAAGGAUGACUGCCCUAUGGGUUGUAAACUUCUUUUAUAAAGGAAUAAAACGAGGCACGUGUGCCUUUUUGCAUGUACUUUAUGAAUAAGGAUCGGCUAACUCCGUGCCAGCAGCCGCGGUAAUACGGAGGAUCCGAGCGUUAUCCGGAUUUAUUGGGUUUAAAGGGAGCGUAGAUGGGUUGUUAAGUCAGUUGUGAAAGUUUGCAGCUCAACCGUAAAAUUGCAAUUGAUACUGGCAGUCUUGAGUACAGGUGAGGUAGGCGGAAUUCGUGGUGUAGCGGUGAAAUGCGUAGAUAUCACGAAGAACCCCGAUGGCGAAGGCAGCUUACUAAACUGUGACUGACAUUGAGGCUCGAAAGUGUGGGGAGCAAACAGGAUUAGAUACCCUUGUAGUC
rnacentral:rRNA from 1 species